UCACUAAUACAUGAAAACCAACCUAGUAUUACAGAGAUGAUUCAAUUCCAAUGUCCCAUGUGCCUAAUAUGAGAACCCAUGGUUAAAGAACUGACAAAAUUCGAAGAGCAAAUAACUCAGACCUUGGCGAAAGAAACUAAGGAAGCUCAUUUAUUAUUCCCGAUAAAUCGACUUUAAAGCGAUAUAGUUGAUCAACUAUUCAGGCUGCUAAGAGAAAAAUGAAACGAACAAAACAUGACAUGCUUUAAGACGCACCGUAGGCCAUCCUCGGCCUUCUUUUUUUUUGAUGAAAAAAAAAUCUCGAUCUCCGAAAACGAGUAUCUCAGCCGAUCCCCAAUCUCCCAGUAUCAAUAUUUUGGCUGCUCAAGCCGGUACAGGUACAGAAGUGGCUCGCAGCAGUUUUCAUUUCAUCCGCAUCUGUUGUCAUAACUUGGUCCUUGUAUCAAAGAUAUGAGAAAGGCGACAAAUCUACUACGUCUUGGCCUUGAGUACAGGGAAGUCUGCUGGUAGGAAUUCCUCAGAUUUGGCCGCCCUCGAUCACAAACUAGAAAUUAGAUAAGAUAAGGUAAAGAAAAAAUUUCGGGCUAGGUUCAAGGUAUGCCAGUUACACACAUUAAAAAUAUUAAUCAAAUUUAUCCGACGUAGGACUUCUGGCGUGACAGACCAGCACUCUAACCGAUUGAGCUAUUUCCCCCUUUCAUGAAUCAAAACAACUCAGUGAGUAAUGAACAGAGGAUUCAAAACAUUCCUUUAAUUGCCCUCUCGAUUUUACUCAAACAGACAGAAUGCUAGUAAGAAUCACGUGUAAGCACAAACAACUAAGUUAACUUUUAAGGUGAGAAUUCCAUCAUAUUCAAGCUUUAUUAACGAACGCCGACAAAUCCUUGAUACCAUAGAUAAGCAAUAACUAUCGCAAGCUAACAAAAUCAGGAGAAGUCAUGGCGAUAGGAAAACGACACAGAAAAUAACAAUAAUAAUAAUACUGUAAUAAUAUUAUUUGUGAACGAAUACACGGACUAGCUUGAAUCGUGCUAGGCACUGUCCUAAGAAACUAUUUCUGCAAUCCCCAGGAUUAACUAGCCUACCUCUAUUUUAUUUAGAUGAUACAGAAAUCAGCAAAAUUAGAUAAUACACAAAUCCAGCUAGAAGGAAAAAGGAAGACCAACUAAUGUGUAAUGUUAAUUUAAUAUUAUAGAAAAUAAAUUAGAAGUAUGAAAAGAGAGGGACGUAUGAGAGGUCUG
rnacentral:lncRNA from 1 species